UACGAAGGGGGCUAGCGUUGCUCGGAAUCACUGGGCGUAAAGGGUGCGUAGGCGGGUUUUUAAGUCAGAGGUGAAAUCCUGGAGCUCAACUCCAGAACUGCCUUUGAUACUGAAAGUCUUGAGUAUGGGAGAGGUGAGUGGAACUGCGAGUGUAGAGGUGAAAUUCGUAGAUAUUCGCAAGAACACCAGUGGCGAAGGCGGCUCACUGGCCCAUAACUGACGCUGAGGCACGAAAGCGUGGGGGGCAAACAGG
rnacentral:rRNA from 1 species